rnacentral:rRNA from 1 species
GCCCCAGUAACGGCGAGUGAAGCGGCAACAGCUCAGAUUUGAAAUCUGGCCCUCCGGGUCCGAGUUGUAAUCUGUAGAGGAUGCUUUCGGCAAGACGCCUUCUGAGUCCCCUGGAACGGGGCGCCAUAGAGGGUGAGAGCCCCGUACGGUUGGACGUCGCGCCUCUGUAAAGCACCUUCGACGAGUCGAGUAGUUUGGGAAUGCUGCUCAAAGCGGGAGGUAAAUUUCUUCUAAAGCUAAAUACCGGCCAGAGACCGAUAGCGCACAAGUAGAGUGAUCGAAAGAUGAAAAGCACUUUGAAAAGAGGGUUAAAAAGCACGUGAAAUUGUUGAAAGGGAAGCGUUUGUGACCAGACUGGAUCUCGGCGGAUCAUCCGGCGUUCUCGCCGGUGCACUCCGCCGGGUUUCGGCCAGCAUCGGUUUCCCCGGGGGCAUAAAGGCGUCGGGAACGUAGCUCCUCCGGGAGUGUUAUAGCCCGUCGCACAAUACCCCCGGGGGGACCGAGGCCCGCGCAUCGCAAGGAUGCUGGCGUAAUGGUCACCAGCGACCCGUCUUGAAACACGGACCAAGGAGUCAAGCAUUAGGGCGAGUGUUUGGGUGCCAAACCCGCACGCGAAAUGAAAGUGAACGCUGGUGAGAGCCUCGGCGCAUCAUCGACCGAUCCUGAUGUACUCGGAUGGAUUUGAGUAAGAGCCUUACCGCUUGGACCCGAAAGAUGCUGAACUAUGCUUGUAUAGGGUGAAGCCAGAGGAAACUCUGGUGGAGGCUCGCAGCGGUUCUGACGUGCAAAUCGAUCGUCAAAUAUGAGCAUGGGGGGCGAAAGAC